rnacentral:misc_RNA from 1 species
CGGCGACGGUUAAAUGUUCACGAAGUGUUGUAGGCACGCAACAUUCGUUGCGCCGCGGCAACGAUACCGUGGCGGCUCGAUCGAAGGUUAAGAGCAGUGCGAGCGGCGGUGCGAGCGGUUAGCGCUGGCCGCGGAUCAUGCGCCAGGCAAAGAGCAGAAGAACCGCGCCAAUCGCAGCGGAAACGAGCGUCCGCCAGAAGCCAAAUACCGGCACUUGUGCGAUUUCGGCAAGCUUGGCGCCGACAAACGACCCGGCGAUACCGACAAGGAUGU